rnacentral:rRNA from 1 species
CCUACGGGAGGCAGCAGUGGGGAAUAUUGGGCAAUGGGCGCAAGCCUGACCCAGCAACGCCGCGUGAAGGAAGAAGGCUUUCGGGUUGUAAACUUCUUUUCUGAGGGACGAAGAAAGUGACGGUACCUCAGGAAUAAGCCACGGCUAACUACGUGCCAGCAGCCGCGGUAAUCCGUAGGUGGCAAGCGUUAUCCGGAUGUAGUGGGUGUAAAGGGCGUGUAGGCGGGAAAGCAAGUCAGAUGUGAAAACUCAGGGCUCAACCCUGAGCCUGCAUUUGAAACUGUUUUUCUUGUGUGCUGGAGAGGCAAGCGGAAUUCCGGGGGUAGCGGUGAAAUGCGUAGAUAUACGGAGGAACACCAGGGGCGAAGGCGGAUUGCUGGACAGUAACUGACGCUGAGGCUCGAAAGCGUGGGGAGCAAACAGGAUUAGAUACCCUGGUAGUC